rnacentral:rRNA from 1 species
CCUACGAGAGGCAGCAGUGAGGAAUAUUGGUCAAUGGGCGCGAGCCUGAACCAGCCAAGUCGCGUGAGGGAAGACGGUCCUAUGGAUUGUAAACCUCUUUUGUCGGGGAGCAAAAGACGCCACGCGUGGCGUUCCGAGAGUACCCGAAGAAAAAGCAUCGGCUAACUCCGUGCCAGCAGCCGCGGUAAUACGGAGGAUCCGAGCGUUAUCCGGAUUUAUUGGGGUUAAAGGGUGCGUAGGCGGCCUUUUAAGUCAGCGGUGAAAGUCUGUGGCUCAACCAUAGAAUUGCCGUUGAAACUGGGGAUCUUGAGUGGAGGAGAGGGAGGCGGAAUGCGUGGUGUAGCGGUGAAAUGCGUAGAUAUCACGAAGAACUCCGAUUGCGAAGGCAGCAUACCGGCGCCCGACUGACGCUGAGGCACGAAAGCGUGGGGAUCGAACAGGAUUAGAUACCCUGGUAGUC